CUUCUCACUGGCCCUCCAAGAAUAUAGGGAGGAGGCAUGGGUAUACGGCAGCCUGGUUGCAUGAUAUAUAUAAAGAAAGUAAAAAAUAGCUUAAUGCAACGAAAUAGGGAGGGCCAGGAAGGUGAUUUUAUGAUAGUGCCGCACCACUUGGCCAGACUGGGUGUUGUUGGGGAGGUGGCUGGGAAGAGUGGGAGGGGUGUAGCAUGUAAGAGGAGUCCGGCCCUUUUUGGGGUUUUGAGGAGUGGGAGGGAUAAAUGAGAACAGGAGGAGGGAGGGAGGGGUGUAUAGGGUCCCGUUGGUGGACGGUGGCACGGAUGAGGGUCUGGCAUGUGUAAUGGUGGCGGCAGGGACGAUGGGGGGGAGAGUGGAGGAACAUCGGAGGGAUGUCCAGGGGGCGAGCUUGGGUGUGGCCCUUGCGACAGCAGCA
rnacentral:lncRNA from 1 species